rnacentral:rRNA from 1 species
ACCUUCGGGAGGGCGCUUACCACUUUGUGAUUCAUGACUGGGGUGAAGUCGUAACAAGGUAACCGUAGGGGAACCUGCGGUUGGAUCACCUCCUUU